rnacentral:rRNA from 1 species
ACAGGUUAGUUUUACCCUACUGUUUACCGUCUUCUAACGCUAAUCCGGCUUAGUACGAGAGGAACCGCCGGUUCAGAUAAUUGGUAACGCGCUCGGCUGAAAAGCCGAUGGCGCAAAGCUACCAUCUGUCGGCUAAUGACUGAACGCCUCUAAGUCAGAAGCCAUGGCGAGAGGGAGACUGCGUGCCUGGCGCUUAUUACGCGUCUAUCAAUAGCUUCGGCUAAGAGCAUACUCGAUCAUAAUUCGGAUGAGCGUCGGGUCAAAUCCCUUACAGACGAUUUGAAUAUGAAGCGGGGUGUUGUAAGUAGCAGAGUAGCCUUGCUGCUACGAUCUACUGAGACUCAGCCCCAGCUU